rnacentral:lncRNA from 1 species
CUUUGGCGUAGAGCUUCCAGAUAAAUCAUUUAUGUUUUCGUUGUAGGAUCUGCCCAAGAAUCAAAUAACACUUGCAGUUUUGACACUUUAUUAGAUCGAAAGUGCCGUCAGAUAUAGAAAAAUAUUUUCCCUUUAUUGAAGUAUUUUUAUGAAUGCAGGGAAGGGGGGAAAACAAAAGAAAAAUACCCAAAGUUAGUAAUCAAAACCAUAAAAUCGGUAUGCAUGCCCUAUGGGGGAACCCUUUUAUGCCAAGGGUAGGCCUAGCAUGAAAAUGCAAUCCGUUAGAGUAGGCACCAUACUAUACCUGAUGGAUCCAAUCAGCUUAUGGAGUGAAAAAUAAUUUGAAAAAUUUGGCCAUUGGAGUGACGAGAGAUUUGUCAAAAUGAGGACAACGUCCGAAUAGAUUGAUCACCUUUGAUUUGCAAAAGGCACGGGUUUGACCUUGACGAACCUCCCAUCGAAAAGAUUGGAAUUCGUUUUAACAAAUUUUCUCAGUGAAUUACGGGUCAAAACCCUAAUUGAUCAAAUGAUUGGAUGCAAUGGACGAUUUUUCAAAAUUGACUAGAUCUCCCAAUUUGGAAUUUGACAAUGAAACCCUAAUAGGGCAAGUGGGUUGAAUGAAAUUGACAAUUUAUUUAAAAUCGACCGAAUUACCCUAAAAGGGA